rnacentral:rRNA from 1 species
GACGAACGCUGGCGGCGUGCUUAACACAUGCAAGUCGAACGGAAAGGCCCUGCUUUUGUGGGUUGCUCGAGUGGCGAACGGGUGAGUAACACGUGAGUAACCUGCCCUUGACUUUGGGAUAACUUCAGGAAACUGGGGCUAAUACCGGAUAGGAGCUCCUGCUGCAUGGUGGUGGUUGGAAAGUUUCGGCGGUUGGGGAUGGACUCGCGGCUUAUCAGCUUGUUGGUGGGGUAGGGGCUUACCAAGGCUUGGAGGGGUAGCCGGCCUGACAGGGUGACCGGGUCCAUGGGCCUAGGGGAACGACCAGAAGGCAAACGGGAGGAAGCGGUGGGAACUAUUCCAAAAGGGGCGGAGGCCGAAUGCAAAACCGCCGGGUCGGGAAGCACGGCUUUGGGGUAGAAACAGAUUUUCACGUGUCACAAGGCGGCGGGACGGUAACUGGUAAAAAAGCCACGGCUAACUAAGUG